GACGAACGCUGGCGGCGUGCUUAACACAUGCAAGUCGAACGGAAAGGCCCUGCUUUUGUGGGGUGCUCGAGUGGCGAACGGGUGAGUAACACGUGAGUAACCUGCCCUUGACUUUGGGAUAACUUCAGGAAACUGGGGCUAAUACCGGAUAGGAGCUCCUGCUGCAUGGUGGGGGUUGGAAAGUUUCGGCGGUUGGGGAUGGACUCGCGGCUUAUCAGCUUGUUGGUGGGGUAGUGGCUUACCAAGGCUUUGACGGGUAGCCGGCCUGAGAGGGUGACCGGCCACAUUGGGACUGAGAUACGGCCCAGACUCCUAGGGGAGGCAGCAGUGGGGAAUAUUGAACAAUGGGCGGAAGCCUGAUGCAGCAACGCCGCGUGCGGGAUGACGGCCUUCGGGUGGUAAACCGCUUUCGCCGGUGACGAAGCGUGAGUGACGGUAAUGGGUAAAGAAGCACCGGCUAACUACGUG
rnacentral:rRNA from 1 species